ensembl:lncRNA
GCAAUUUAAAUCAAAAUUAAUGAAACAUGCAAUACAGAAGCCAUUUGUUGUCGUCUAUUAUGUCAGCAACACCACUGCUAAGAGAAAUGGUGAUAUGCUAAUUGUUUGAACUGUCAAAAUGAAAUUGCUCAAAACAAAAGUUACCCAUAUGGACAUUAAAGCCUUUACAGCUUAUCCAGAGGUAAAAAUAAAUACAUAAAUACAAUUUCUAAUUUAGUGAGUGCACAAAAGGAUGAUCAUGAGUAAUGUUAUAUUGAUUGUGUGUAAGAUAAAAGAGUAGAAAUAUGAAGAAAUUGAGAGAAAAUGACGAUUUGCUGCUCUUUAAUACAGACUCAAACAUUGGCGAUGAUAAUAUCAGGAAAAAAAUACAUCUGUUUUUGUGAGCCGAUCUGGUGAGCCAGCACACAAAGGGCAGCCCUGUAUCAUAGUCAGCCACCUGUGGGCUUUUGUCCCUGGCCCGUCACGUCACAUAUCCCCGCCAUGUUAGCCUGUCUACAAUGGACAGGAGCCCAUCAGCUGGAUUCAGCGCUGGCCCUGGCCUCUGUGAUCUGACUGCUGUAUGAUACACAAAGCAAAAUCCCACUAGACAGACUCACACAGGGAUUAACACAAAUACCCCCCACCCUCACCCAAUAAAAAAAAAAAAAAACAACAUAUGUGAACAAAGCCACACACGUUUUCACAGCUUCUCCAGCACCAACAUUAUGAAUAUGAAUAACCCUCUGGCCCAGAUUUUAGCGAGCUGUACCAUUCGGUGCUGCGUUCAAGCCUUCAAGAUGUCAACACAGCGACAGAAGGGCAAACUGAGAAACAAAUCUAACAACACAGUGUGGGCCAGCAAUAGGCUAUAGGCAUCAGCCAGUGAUCGAGGGUGAUGAGGGAAAAAAGGGGUGUCCCAGUGCUGGCCCAAUAUGCUUUAUUUAGCAGAGCAAAUCUGAGCAGAGCCCAGUGACUUGCACCAGUUGUUUAUGCACUAAAAGUCCAUGUGGUGAACUAAAAACUUUGCAAUUCAAGAACCUAACUUGUCGAGAGACUUGUGACGACAGCUUGCUGAGAGGGUACAGAUUGUAGAGGGGUACAAACGAUGGCAGGAAGAUCUACCUCUAAUCCAA